UCCCUGAUAGCUCAGCUGGUAAAGAAUCUGCCUGGAAUGCAGGAGACCUGGGUUCAAUCCCUGGGUUGGGAA
rnacentral:tRNA from 1 species